rnacentral:rRNA from 1 species
GCAGUCGCACGAGAAGGGGCUUCGGCCCUGAGUAAAGUGGCGCACGGGUGAGUAACACGUGAAUAAUCUACCUCCGAGUGGGGAAUAACUUCGGGAAACCGAGGCUAAUACCGCAUAACACUUACGAGUCAAAGCAGCAAUGCGCUUGGAGAGGAGUUCGCGGCAGAUUAGUUAGUUGGCGGGGUAAUGGCCCACCAAGACGAUGAUCUGUAUCCGGCCUGAGAGGGCGCACGGACACACUGGAACUGAAACACGGUCCAGACUCCUACGGGAGGCAGCAGUGGGGAAUUUUGCGCAAUGGGGGAAACCCUGACGCAGCAACGCCGCGUGGAGGAUGAAGUCUCUUGGGACGUAAACUCCUUUCGAUCGGGACGAUUAUGACGGUACCGGAAGAAGAAGCCCCGGCUAACUUCGUGCCAGCAGCCGCGGUAAUACGAGGGGGGCAAGCGUUGUUCGGAAUUAUUGGGCGUAAAGGGCGCGUAGGCGGUUUGGCAAGUCUAAUGUGAAAUCUUCGGGCUCAACUCGAAGUCUGCAUUGGAAACUGCCGGGCUUGAGUAUGGGAGAGGUGAGUGGAAUUUCCGGUGUAGCGGUGAAAUGCGUAGAUAUCGGAAGGAACACCUGUGGCGAAAGCGGCUCACUGGACCAUAACU